AAAACCUGUUUAAAAGGAAAACAAAAAAAAAAAAAAAAGAAAAAAACCCACACAGUACUUAAUUUAAUGCAAACACAAGCUUGGAUGCUGAAAGCCUGCCCUGUUACAAAUGUAGUCUUUUUUAUGCCCUUAGCCCCAUCCACAGUGAUAGCACACCCUCUGCUGCAGGGCCACUUGAGAUAUCUCAUGGUCCCAUCUUAACAUAUUUGGAAGUGUCUGAAGGCCUCAGUUUAAAUAAGGAAUCUUUUUUAAAUGUAAGCCUGUAAGAAUACAUGAGCAAAGAGGCAAAAGGAGAGGUAAAAGACAACAGGCUUUCAAUCUGGGAGUUGUACCACUGAAACCUCAGUGUAAAUUGAAGCAAGCUGCAAUAGGUAGGGCUGGAGCAGCUGGGAACAGGAUGAAUCUCUUUCAGCAUACAGCCAUGCUCACCACAUUGCCCUUCUGCAGGUAAAUCAGACAGUUCAACCUGCAGCUGCUGGGACAGAUCAAAGGAAGGGAUGAGAAGCAGAAUCUAAUAACAAAUGAGGAAAUCCAAGGGACAAAAGGAAUGCUGGAUUUGCUCCUGAUCAUUCAGCAGGCCACAGAGAGAGCAGUCCCUGACUCAAGCUUGUGAUACUGAUAGCAGACCUGUGACACUUAAAAUACGAUGAUGAUGGCUACCUGCAGAGCUCCCAGUCUCUGCUUGGAACACUGGAGAUUCAGCUGAUUCACUGCUGAACUGAUCUUGAAAGACAUAGGAGAUGCCAAAAGAAUACAAAACUGCAACAUUUUGCUGGGGGUCUUCAGGAGCAUGCACAGACCUUUUCAAGGAUAAACUCACCUAUGUGAUGUGAAGCAUCGAUCUGCGAAUCAAGUAUAACUCCACUUGCCAGGCCCAUUGGAAUCCUGCAAUCUGAAAGGAGCACAGUGCUUUUGGACAAGAGAAGAUAUGAGCCACCUUCCUUCCUCUGUCACUGUCAUGUUUACAGUGGUUGAGGCUCCUCCCACCAAGUUAACAGCAGAAACUCGGCGACGUUUUUGCUCCAUGCUCUGGCCAUUGAUAUGAAUGGAGAAGAUUUCUGGUUUGGAACUCAUUCCUAUCAAAUGCCAGCUAACGUUGUCAUAUGCACAAGCCUCUAAAUCUGAAAGAGACAUGAGAUUAAAGUUCAGAAUACAGGGGAGCUUCGAGGUCCAAGUCCACGCAGUCUACAGUCUACACAAAUUUUUUGACUCAAACAAAAGCAAGCUAAAUAGCUCCCAGCACGUUCACCACAAGAAGGAUAUAUAAUUUGGAAAACCCUUGGAUUUAAGGGACCAAUCAGCAGUGCUCCAAUCAGACCAGAGUUAAAAUCCACUGCCAUGUUCUCAUGAGAAUAGUAAGCAUAAGUAAGACAAGGAAGGUCAGCUUCUCUUGGACCAACUUCUUCUGAUAUAUCCCACACAUAUGUGUAGAGCUGGCCUGGAAGUACAGCAUCAUCUCGUUUUUCUUCAGGGGAUGUUCUGUCAUCAUACAGGGAGCCUGCCAAGAAAAGAGUCGGUAGGGUGGCAUAAAGAUAAAGAACAAAUAAAAUGCCUGGAAUAUGUUCCUACAAUCAGCUCCAAAAGCUUGGUUUGAUCAUGCUCAUAUGGUACUUCAGCUUCAAAGAAAUAACUCAUUAAAUAACUCAUGAGUAGCUGGGGAGAGUAGCUAUUCCACUACCAUCCUUUUCCUCACAGAUUAAAGAUUUCCUAGAAAUAUCAUCACUACCAAAGGUUGGGCUCUUCAUCAGUCUGACUAAGGUUAGGAGAGGAUGAUGCUUCAGCCUCUGCUCACUGAUGCUCUGCAGAGGAAUGCUGCCCACUCUGUCACCUUUCUAAGUGUCUCUCAUAAAGCCACUGCAUGGGCUGGCUCUGCCUCAGGCCUUUUGUACACUGCACAUUCAUAUAUUGAGCAGUAAUGGCUCAUGUCAGUGCCUGCCAUAUCCAACAGAUCUGCAAUAUGACAAAAGGGAGACGGAGAAUCGAAAUCCGAAGUGCAAAAGGUACAUUAAUCAGACAGUAUUCCCACCAUUUCCAAUGAGAUGUUCUGUUCAACUCCAUGAGAUGGUGUUGCAAAAUUCCUUUUGCACACACACAACAAAUAAAGCUUUGCAUGAAUUCGUAAACUGCAGGUCAGCGCUCUGGCUCAGCAUUCAGGGCAGGGCAAUCCAAGAAACAUGAGCAACCAAACUCACUUCAUGCUGGAACAGACAUUUUACUGUCCAUUUGGUCAUAGUUUAUAAUCUCUUUUUGCUGGUCUCAUGAGGGUGUGGAGCAAAGCACCACAAAGCUGAGCAUUAAAUGCUGAGUAUCAGAACAGCAUGAUCAGCACUGCUAGGAAACUGCUCAUGACACUCAUUCCUAAUGUUAUGCUGAUGAACAAGAAAGGAGCUAACAAUGGACGUGAAGAUGUAAUCCAGGAUCAACGGAUCUUUGUGUUACACAUAGUUUUAAAUAUCCAUUUGGACCCCUCUCAACAUUUUAUGCAGUAGUCUACAAAUAAAUGAGCAACACAUGGA